GCCCCGGUAGCUCAGUCUGGUUGGAGCACUGCCUUGGUAAGGCAGGGGUCGCGGGUUCGAAUCCCGCCCGGGGCUCCA
rnacentral:tRNA from 1 species